GAGGGAGGAAUUCUGUCGUCUGGGAACGGCUGGUUUCGCGGUCAGACGCCGAGGGCCCUCGAAGUCCCUAGCAACGGCUGCGGAGGGAGAUUCCACCUAGGUCCGUGCAGGUUACAAAUGGCAACCAGAACAGGGACUCCAAGCACGCCCAACUAGCAGCAUCCAAACAUGGGACUUCAAGGACGUGAAUGAAGAAGGUCUGCUGGAGCAGAGGAACUGAAAUUGACAAGGCGAAAGGGGACCCUGGGAAGAGUCUGCCGGCAGCAGAUAUAAGGUCAGUGCCCUAAAGAGGUACUGGGAGCAGUGCUUUAAAGAAGUACUGGGAAGUUUUCUGACUCAGGGUAACAAGGGAAAGAAUUUGUCUAUUGAAGAAAAACAUUAUGUGCAGUUGCUUAAAGUUCUGUUGAGACAGUCUGCAGCUCAGGUUAAUUCGCAGACACUAACCUCCUGCAGAAGCCACAAAAGGUUAUUACACAUAACCCAUCGUUUCCACAGGCAGGCACUCUUGAUGUGGAAAAUUGGGAUACAGCAGGAGAAGGAUUAAAACAGGCUCAUCAAAAAGGUCUUAAAGUCGAUUCUUCUGUUUUCUCCACUUGGAGUUUAGUUCGUACUGUACUUCUGCCAUUAUCUCAUUAUUAUUCUGCAGGACAGCAAGCUGAAUCUAAAAAUCUGAAAGAAUUUGUUGACCCACCCACAGCUCCAAUUAAAAAUAAAAAACAGGAGAGGGAGGAUAAAAAUUGGCCUAUACUGCCUCCUUCAGUUGCAGAAACAUCUGUACUGCCUCCUUCGGUGGCAGAAAUAGAAACCCUAAUACAAAGAAUUUAAUGCUCUGCUGCCAUAGCUGGAGAGCCCUUAGGACAUUGUGCUUUUCCUAUUUCCAUCAGGCCUGAUCCAAAAAAUCCACAGCAGGUUAUUCAUGAACACACCCCACUAGAGUUUAAGUUGUUGAAGGAAUUAAAAGCAAGAGUGGUAAAUGAUGGCAUACAGAGCCCAUUCACCUUAGGAUUGCUAGAAUCUGUGUUUGGUGCUAUGCGUUUUUUACCCUUUGAUGUGAGACACUUGGCGCGAACUUGCUUGUCUGCUAGUGCAUAUCUGACAUGGAAUUUAAAUUGGCAAGAAAUGUGUGCAGACCAGGCUAAACAGAACCAUGCUGCUGGACACGGAGACAUUACAGAGGAUAUGCUGUUAGGUCAUGGCCCUUAUUCAGAUGUAGAACGUCAAAUGGCACUCCCAGAUGCUGCUUAUCAGCAGUGUACACAGGCCGCUAAAUGCGCCUGGGCCACAAUCCUGAAGAGGGAGUCCCUGUACAAUCCUUUUUACAUAUCAUGCAAGGGUUGCAGGAACCCUAUGCACAAUUUCUUGCAAGAUUACAUGAGGCACUGAAGCGUCAGAUUCCUCAUACUGUGGCUGCAGAAAUGCUAACCUUAACUUUAGCUUUUGAGAAUGCAAACGUGUACUGUAAACGUGCACUGGCACCAGUGAGGUGUACAAAAAACUUGGGAAAUUUUCUCAGAGCUUGUCAGGAUGUAGGAACUGAGAUUCAUCGAUCUGCAAAGUUAGCAUAAGCAAUGGCUAAUUUAGCAGUUGACAAAUCUAAAAGGAGCCAAGGGUCAAACCCUAAAGUGGGAAAAUGUUGUAAUUGUGGAAAAACUGGACAUCUAAAAAAGGAAUGCCGCCAGAUCUCAGGACAGAAAGGAUAUUACAAUGCAGUUCACUCCCUAGCAGAAAAAACAGCAGGACUCUGUACUCGCCAUAACAAAGGAAAUCACUGGGCUACCCAGUGCUGCUCAAAAUUUCAUCAGAAUGGCACCCCAUUGGUAAAUGAGAUGGGGGCCUGCACCCGGGCCCCUCAAACAAUGAGGGCAUUCCCAAUGCAGACCACAACCCCACUUCAGGGAUGGGUUCCUGGAGGCACAUUGAUUCCCUCAACCCAGGAACACCAGGAAGUGCAGGAUUAGAUCUACCCACCAGAGAAAGAAUCACAUUAGUUAGGGGAGACAAACCUAUUUGGGUAUUUGGGGACCUUUACCGACAGGAUACACAGGACUAAUUUUAGGUAAAAGCUGCCUUAACUUGCAAGGCAUCACUGUAGUCCUAGGAAUGACUGACUCCGAUUAUGAAGGAGAAAUUCAAGUAGUUUUAAUGUCACAAAAUCUUUGGGUUUUUGAACUGGGAGAAUAUAUUGCUCAAUUAUUGCUUAUUCCCUGUGAAUUACACCCUUCCCCAUGAAAAGAGAAAUGAGGAAAUAAAGGGUUUGGGAGCACAACUACAUGGGAAAUCUAUCUUUCCCAACCCAUAGCCUCUAAUAGACCUACCUGUGUAGUACACAUUAAAGGAAAGAAAUUUUAUGGGCUUAUGGACAUGGGAGCUGAUGUGUCAGUCAUAUCUAUAGGAUGGGCACAUCAAACAUUACAACGCAUGUUGAAAAAACAAAAAGGGGGUAUAGGAGGCCAACUACCACCUCAAUCAAAACUACAUUUAGCCUUAUUUACUUUAAAUUUUCUGACUCCCGGUAUGGAUGGUAAGACUCCAGCAGAAAGACAUUGGCAAGUGUUAGAGGAAAAAAGCAAAGUUUAUCUGAAAGUGUUAUGGAAAUCCCCAGAAGGACAACAAUGGAAAGGCCCGGUAGAUUUACUGACCUGGGGAAGAGGGUAUGCUUGUGUGUUUACAGGAGAUGGGACAAGCCAUGUGGGUGCCCUCAAGGUGCAUGCGACCAUGGAAUGGGAGACUGGAGGAACCCAGGGUGGCCAACCAUGGGCCCAGUCCCUCCUGUACGAGCUAUGAGUCAGCUGAGCCUGAGUGCAAAGAUGGAGAGAAGGCCAACCAGAGUCAUGAUGACAUCAACCCCCAUAACCUGGGGACAACUCAAGAAAACCACACAGGAAGCUGAGAAACUACUGGAGUGUCAGGGACAGGCAAAACCCCUGAUUCCAUGCUCUUGGCCAUGUUAGCCAUAAUGUCCUGUGCACUACGUUUUCCCUGUGCACAGGCAAAAACAUAUUGGGCAUAUGUUCCCAAUCCCCCAGCAGUAUGGCCUAUACUUUGGAGCUCACUCCUCCUGAGAUUUAUCACGAUCAGGGAGAGUGGGCUCCAGGACCCCUAACUCCCCGUGACAUAGAAAAGUUAGACUCUCAGAACAAUGUCAUUAAUUAUACCACUCCACUGGAAGGACUCCCUUUGUUUAUCACCACAAAGACGUCGCUCAGCCAUAGCUGUCUUGCAAUUCAAGCUCAAACAUGGUUGAGUCACUAUGGAAAAAUUAUGUACUUAUUAGGUCUUGGUUCUAUUAAUGUAACUGGUGUGCUAACCAAUCAUUCCCAGUCCAGUCACCCUAAUUGUGCUGAUUAUACAGAAUGGAUUCCAUUCAAUAGUUCCUACCCCACUCUGUGGACCCAGUGUCUUGAUCCACUGGCUAGUAAACAAUAUAUGUCAACUGAAGACACUGUGGAUUGGGAACCUAAAGGUCAAUUAGAUGGAAAAGGUGAAAGUCAGAAAUCAUGGCACAAACUUCACUGGCAUUGGCGGCAAGCUUUUAAUGCUUCUUCUUUAUACAACAGCAGAAUCCAAUCCCAGUCUGCUGCUCAGAUUGCUUGGCAUGGAGCAGGCUUUAGCCCACCUCUUCCUCAGUUGCAUUAUCUGGGGAGGAAAGGACCAAUUCAAGAAACUAUAUGGAAGGCAGCACUCCCAUUUAUGAAUGGCAACAUCUGGAUUGGAACACUGUCUAAUAAUAGCAAUAGUAAGCAACACAGUCUUAAUGUUGCAUUUGUAAAGAAUAUCACCACUCAGUUUACAGUUUGUGUUUUUAAUCCUUAUGCCUUUUUGGCAGCUAAGAAGAACCAGCUUCAGGUAAACAAUACCCAAUUGACCUGUAAAUCUUGCCAGUUAUAUCACACUGCAUUAAUCAUAGCACAUUACGAACACAUAAUAUCUCUACUUUGAUAAUGUUGGGUUGCAUCCCUGGGCUAUGGAUUCUUGUUAAUCUGUCUGAGCCUUGGGCUGCCACACCUGCUUUGCAUUUUUGUAACACUUCUUCUAACUCAGCUUACUCACUGUGUCCAUAGAGCCUUAGGCAUAAUUUUUGCUAUUGUUUCCUUGGUCAAACUAAUAACUUCUGUUGUGAUAUCUUCUGUAACUCUGCAUAAUUCUAUUCAAACAUCUCAGUAGGUGGAGAACUGGACACGCACAGCUGACCAAGCGAGGCUACUUCAGAAUAAAAUUAACACUGAGUUACAAACUGAAGUGGCAAUGUUGAAAUCCAUGGUUCUGUGGUUAGGAGAACAGGUACAAAGCUUGCAGUUGCAGCAGCAAUUGCGUCAUCAUUUUAAUCACAUUCAUAUUUGCGUAACUAACUCAGAAUAUAACCAAAGUGAGUAUCCGUGGGACCUUGUGAAAGCCCAUUUGCAAGGAGCUUUCACAUCCAACAUCACCUUUGAUAUUGGUGAAUUACAAAACAAAAUUAUUGAUUUAAAUAGGCAAACUCAAGAAUUUCAGCCUUCUUUAGAAGACUGGACCGAAUUCCAGGAAGGCCUGGAGAGCCUCAACCCUUGGACCUAUCUAAGGCA
ensembl:lncRNA ZNF350-AS1 ZNF350 antisense RNA 1